rnacentral:misc_RNA from 1 species
GGAAGCAAAAGUCGUAACAAGGUUUCCGUAGGUGAACCUGCGGAAGGAUCAUUAACGAGUUAGGGUCUUUUAGGCCCGACCUCCCAACCCUAUGUUUAUUGAACCUCUGUUGCUUCGGCGGACCCGUCUCACGGCCGCCGGAGGACCGCUGCGAGGCGUCCUCUGGCCAGCGUCCGCCGAUGGCCAACCCACUAAACUCUGAAUGAAUCGUGUCAUAUGUCUAAGUCUAUGAUUAAAUUAAAGCAAAACUUUCAACAACGGAUCUCUUGGUUCUG